GAUGAACGCUAGCUACAGGCUUAACACAUGCAAGUCGAGGGGCAGCAUGGUCUUAGCUUGCUAAGGCCGAUGGCGACCGGCGCACGGGUGAGUAACACGUAUCCAACCUGCCGUCUACUCUUGGACAGCCUUCUGAAAGGAAGAUUAAUACAAGAUGGCAUCAUGAGUUCACAUGUUCACAUGAUUAAAGGUAUUCCGGUAGACGAUGGGGAUGCGUUCCAUUAGAUAGUAGGCGGGGUAACGGCCCACCUAGUCUUCGAUGGAUAGGGGUUCUGAGAGGAAGGUCCCCCACAUUGGAACUGAGACACGGUCCAAACUCCUACGGGAGGCAGCAGUGAGGAAUAUUGGUCAAUGGGCGAGAGCCUGAACCAGCCAAGUAGCGUGAAGGAUGACUGCCCUAUGGGUUGUAAACUUCUUUUAUAAAGGAAUAAAGUCGGGUAUGGAUACCCGUUUGCAUGUACUUUAUGAAUAAGGAUCGGCUAACUCCGUG
rnacentral:rRNA from 1 species